rnacentral:lncRNA from 1 species
GUCUGAAUACAUAAAUAUUUAUAUCGUCCGAAUAAAAAGUGUAUGCAAAGUGACGGAAGACGCUUCAGGCUGUCUGCAGUGAUGGCAGAAGCCUGGUAGCUUGGGCCCCAUCAUGCCACUUGUGUGUUUUGCUGCAUAUUGCUGAGUCGUUGGAAACAGUGAGUUGUGAGAAAGUUAACUUUGGUGCUUUUGAUUCUUAGGGCCAGUGGGGAGUGACAGCGGCAGAUGAGGAGGAGGAGAACAGGAGGAUUCAGGAAUUUCAAGAGUCCAUACCGAAAAUGUGUUCCCAGCUGCGGAUCCUGACGCACUUUUAUCAGGGUAUCGUGCAGCAGUUUCUGGUGUUAUUGACGACCAGCCCUGAUGAAAGUCUCCGGUUCCUCAGCUUCAGGCUGGACUUUAACGAGCACUACAAGGCCAGGGAGCCCAGGCUCCGAGUGUCUCUGGGCUCCAGGGGACGGCGCACGUCCCACACGUGAGGGCAGAAGACUCCGUCUGUUCACACCAGCUCACGACGGGUGGUCGGGGGCCAGCUUGCCACUGGCGGCCGCCUCUGCCUGAGGGCUGUAGUGUGUGUCGGUGGCCUGGCAUCCAGCAGGGUUGCAGUCACGCGGUGUCCACCAGAAGCGAAUGUGCCGUUGCUGGGUUGGUAGACUGCGCCCUCUGGUCAGCUCAUCUGGGCCAUGCUCACAGUGCAGACGCCAGGACGCGGGGUGGGGGUGGGGGGGUGGGGGGGCUGCGUGCGCACUCCAGGGUGUCGCUUGUAUUGAUCACAGUCCUGUUAGCCAGCAUAGGGCGUGGUGUGUUCAGAAUAAUGUCAAUGCUAUUUUUUUAACAUCCUCUUUAGAGGAAGUUUUUGUUACCAUAAUAAACUGAAACAAGAUGUCCCUGCUAAGAAAACACAGAGCAUUUUAUUUGGGUUUUUGUGUUGUGAAAUGCUCACCUGCGAGUGUAUUUAUCUUAAUGCUCCCCUUUGUUUGCUUGCUCUUACCUCUUCUCGCAAGGUUUACAUUUUUAUAUUUCCUGUUUCGUGUAACUUCCAAACCAGUACAGAGAAGAGUAGGAGCGGCCCGGAACACAAGCAGAUGUAGCCCAGGCCUCGAGAAGCCCUUGGCCAGAGCGGUGUGUAAAUACAGAUGACUCAAGGGUAAAUGAAGGAUUGUAUUUUCAGAUUCUUCCAAGCACUGGAAAGAAAUUGACUUGGAUAAUGAAGACUUCCUUUUUCCUCACCUAUUUUUUUCACUGUAAAUAUUUAUAUACUACUGACCAGAUGUUGGGAGGAACGGUUUUUUGUAAAAGCAAAAUGUCAUAUCAAGUCACAUAAAUCUGCCUUUUUUUCAUGUUAUGUAGUAUGAACUUAGAAAAUUAAAACAGUUACCUUUCAGAUUCAUUGCUAUUUCUUGACCAGUCUGUGCAGAGAC